GCGGGUAUAGUACAAUGGCUAGUAUAUUGGCUUUCCAAGCCAAGGAUACGGGUUCGACUCCCGUUACCCGCUCCA
rnacentral:tRNA from 1 species